rnacentral:lncRNA from 1 species
GAACAGCUGAGGUAGCGUUCAGUUUCAGCCCCAGUGCCAUUAUGAUGGAUGUUUACAUCUCUUCAUUGAGAGCCAAUUAUCUCGCUUUUGUGUGAGGCCCCAGGAUCACUCAUGCUGCCAGGCUGCACACAGCACUGUUGGAUCUAGCUGAACGAAUUGUUUUCCCUGUCUCUGGCCCUCCGGAAGCUGUGUAGAAGGCCCAGCCAAAGGGAGACACCUGGCUAAUUUGACGGGAGAGUAAAAAGAAGAGGGCCGGCGGUGGAGUGGGAUUAUUUCUGAGACACUGGGAGACCACUGUCAGUAACAUGAAUGAUAUCUUCUUAACUUCUUCCUCUCCCUCAGUCUCUCAUGAUGUGCGGGCUGAUGGGCCAAGCAGGCUCAGUCAUAGCAGAAAGAAAUUGUCCUGGAAUUCACGAACAAACCACCAAGGCCAUGGAGGUACAACUGUGAGACCUGACAGCCCAAAGGGAGAUUAAAGGUCCCACUCCUUGAAACACAGCAAGACUG